CCUACGGGAGGCAGCAGUGGGGAAUAUUGGGCAAUGGACGCAAGUCUGACCCAGCAACGCCGCGUGAAGGAAGAAGGCUUUCGGGUUGUAAACUUCUUUUCUAAGGGAAGAAGAAAGUGACGGUACCUUAGGAAUAAGCCUCGGCUAACUACGUGCCAGCAGCCGCGGUAAUACGUAGGAGGCAAGCGUUAUCCGGAAUGACUGGGCGUAAAGGGUGCGUAGGUGGGUUGAUAAGUUGGUAGCGUAACUCCGAGGCUCAACCUCGGAACUACUACCAAAACUGUCGGACUUGAGUGCAGGAGGGGCAACUGGAAUUCCUAGUGUAGCGGUGGAAUGCGUAGAUAUUAGGAGGAACACCAGUGGCGAAGGCGAGUUGCUGGACUGCAACUGACACUGAGGCACGAAAGCGUGGGGAGCAAACAGGAUUAGAUACCCUUGUAGUC
rnacentral:rRNA from 1 species